rnacentral:lncRNA from 1 species
CUCCAUCGACUUGAAGCUCUCUCGGCUUCCACUUCUAUGGACAGGUGGCUCUCUACCUAGCCAGCAAAAUGUAUGUAAGAGAUGAACUGGAUUUAAUCUGUCAGCAGAAGUGAGAGAAGCAGACCUGGCAAGCUGGAGAAUUCUGCAGGAAUGGGGGAAGGGCA